rnacentral:rRNA from 1 species
CGCAGCCGCGGUAAUUCCAGCUCCAAUAGCGUAUAUUAAAGUUGUUGCAGUUAAAAAGCUCGUAGUUGAAUUUCGGGAUCAGUACGCUGGUCAUGCCUUUGGUAUGCACUGGUGUCACUGGUUUCUCCCUUCUGAAGAACCGUGAUGUCAUUAAUUUGGUGUCGCGGGGAAUCAGGACUGUUUACUUUAGAAAAAAUUAGAGUUAGUUUAAAGCACGGCCCACG